AUGCAGCAUCCUGGCUGUCACAGAGUGGUUCUGGGGACCCAGCCCAGCAAAAGCUCACGCUGCAAACUGCAGCUCCCAAAUCCGCUUUGUUUCCCUGGGUACAGCAGCCCCAAGCACACCCCCGGGAGGGGCAGCGGGAGAGGCCCUGGGGCAGUGCCACCACCCCAUGGUGCCACCACCUUGGGGACAGGGACCCGCCAGGGUGCGUGGGGCUCCGCAUGGCCGAAGCUCUGGGCAGAGCCCCUCAGUGCCUGCCCACCCGGCCGGCGUGAGCUACACCCGCUGAGCACCGUCCCCUCCUGCAGGCAGGGUCUCCAGUGCAAGGAGCUGGAACCAGACCAGAUGCAACCAGAACACACAAAUACCUAUGGAGAAGUGCCAAGAGCUUUUCCUAGAAAGCGUUUGCUGUGGAAGAGACGGUGGCGGGGCCCAGCAGACCUCGCUGGAAGGAGACAGUGGGACUGCGAUGGACCGUGCACCAGCACCAGCUCACCUCGCCUGCCUGGUUCAGCAAGCAGGGCAUGCAGGCAGGGCACCUCCUUCGCUAAUCCAGCCACGGCUUUGUCCUUUGCUCCAUUUCUGCUCCCAGGCUGUGCAUGUCUGCUGCCUGCGGACAGGGCUUGGGGGGGAUGCCCCGCUGGGAGCCAGCAGCAGAGGGUCCACCCCCAGCACAGCCCCAGCUUGGCGGGCACAACUGCACUGGGACCAGCGGCACCGGGACUGGCCUGGGAGCAGGGGUAUGGUGAAAACACGACCGGCCCCAGCUCUCCACAUCAGUCUAGAGCAAUUGCAAGAACAAGUUCAGGUGCCCUAACCCACAGAUCAGCAAAUUCCUUGCAACAGGGGCCAGGCCCUGGGUUUGCACAGUGGGGCCUCCACGACCCCUAUGGUAGGAAACAAACGCUCCAUUAUGGUGGUGACCCCACGGCUUCCCGGGGCAGCCCCAGCUCCUCCAGCACCAUCCCAGCCUCCGUGGGGAGGCUGCUGCUGCCUGGAGGCUGCUGUGGCCGGAGGGGGACGGCGGGGACAGCCCGCCCCAGGACAGGCACUGCCGCACCCUGCUCGAGGCGCGGGGAGAAACCCUGCGUGUGA
rnacentral:lncRNA from 1 species